AGGAAUCCAUAUAUGAUAAAAUACACAAGCUCCUAAAAACCUGCGUACCUCUGUUAAAGAGUCACAUGAAUCUUUCAUCCUUCCAAUUGCAUCAACUUUGCUUGGAUCAUGCUUUCUCUCAUAAGAUCCACACACAUGCCCAACAAUAAUAACUUCCUGCACUCCAAAUGUAGAUUUUGUUCCUCACAGUGUAAGACGAACUUCCUCAAGUCGAGUUA
rnacentral:lncRNA from 1 species